rnacentral:lncRNA from 1 species
UGGCAAUCGGCUGCACAAACUCUCAUAGUCUGGUGAGAGUUUUCCCUGCUUCAGCAGAAGGUAUGGCCCAGAUGUGUGUACCACCAUGCCUGGAUUUGGAGCUCACAGUCCCAAGCUGGCCUUGAAAUCAGAUCUCCUUGCCUCAGUCUCCUGGGAUUAAAGCAACUCCUGUCUGGGCCUAAGCUUUGCAUGGUCACUGUGCCUCAAGAUCUGAAUCAAAAGUGUGUGUCAUCUCCUGUCAGAGCUUGUGCCAUCCACUCUCAAGAUCUGGAUCACAGGUAUGCCCUCCAUUUCCGGAUUGUAGUUCAUUCCAGAUGUAGUCGACAACCAGGAACAGCCAUCACUCAUGCUCUGUGACUUUGCUAGAUUCCAAUUUUAAAUGAUGGUUUAGAUUGUUGCAAUUGAAAUUCAAGCUUUGUCAGUUCCCGGCUGUGUACGUGUAAGCAGGUUAUUUAAGCCAACAUUCUGCCAGUUUCCUUUCUG